UAAGACAGAGGGUGCAAACGUUGUUCGGAAUUACUGGGCGUAAAGCGCGUGUAGGCGGCUCGGCAAGUCGGGUGUGAAAGCCCUGGGCUCAACCCAGGAAGUGCAUUCGAAACUGCCGAGCUGGAGUCCCGGAGAGGAAGGCGGAAUUCUCGGUGUAGAGGUGAAAUUCGUAGAUAUCGAGAGGAACACCGGUGGCGAAGGCGGCCUUCUGGACGGCGACUGACGCUGAGACGCGAAAGCGUGGGGAGCAAACAGGA
rnacentral:rRNA from 1 species